rnacentral:rRNA from 1 species
UACAGAGGUCUCGAGCGUUAGGCGGAAUCACUGGGCUUAAAGCGUGUGUAGGCGGAUCGGUAAGUACCUUGUGAAAUCCCACAGCUUAACUGUGGAACUGCUUGGUAUACUGCCAGUCUUGAGCCAGCUAGGGGCUACCGGAACAAAUGGUGGAGCGGUGAAAUGCGUAGAUAUCUGGAGGAACACCGGUGGCGAAAGCGGCUCACUGGACCGUCUCUGACGCUGAGGUGCGAAAGCCAGGGUAGCGAACGGG